GAAUAUGAUGAGAGAUAAUCCUGCUCCAGUCUUACGAGCCUUGUAUCAUUGCAUUGCUCAAUGGUGAUAGACCUAUUCAUAAUCUGAUUA